rnacentral:rRNA from 1 species
AAAGCGCACGUAGGCGGCUUUGUAAGUAAGAGGUGAAAGCCCGGGGCUCAACCCCGGAAUUGCCUUUUAGACUGCAUCGCUUGAAUCAUGGAGAGGUCAGUGGAAUUCCGAGUGUAGAGGUGAAAUUCGUAGAUAUUCGGAAGAACACCAGUGGCGAAGGCGGCUGACUGGACAUGUAUUGACGCUGAGGUGCGAAAGCGUGGGGAGCAAACAGGAUUAGAUACCCGUGU